CAUGAGUAGGAUUUAAGAACCAUACGAUAAAUCUUUCUUUAUCAUUUUGGAAGUAGCUCUAAGGACUUCAUCAUAACAUAUAAAUUUUAUUUAGGAAGAUGUAUUCUUCAUGAUGAAUCUUAUCAGAUAAUAUUUAUAAUUCAUAUACAUAUAUGGAACACAAUCAUCUACAACCUAGAUGAUUGACUUUAGGAUAUAAUUCCCAAU
rnacentral:lncRNA from 1 species